rnacentral:rRNA from 1 species
GGGUCAGUAGGUUGGUCGUGCCACCGGUACGUACUGGUCUCACUGAUUCCUCCUUCCUGAAGAACCGUAGUGCCAUUAAUUUGGUGUUGCGGGGAAACAGGACUGUUACUUUGAAAAAAUUAGAGUGUUUAAAGCAAGCUGACGCUUGAAUACAUUAGCAUGGAAUAAUGAAAUAGGACGAUCGAUCCUAUUUUGUUGGUUUCUAGGAUUGACGUA